AAUAAAACGGCAUAUAGGUAGCUUAUUAGUGCGCGUUCUGCGAGGCUGCAUGGAACAAGACGUGGACCUUUUUGCAGCCAAAAACAUAAUCCCUCCGGACAAAUAUUCGGUUAUCCAUUUGAAUAUUACUCUUCAGUUGGGUAUGGCCGUUUAUAUUUCGUAUGCAUUUUUUACUUUUACUUCAAUAAAAAAUUUAAUCGUUGCAUUUUUUUUCUCGGCAUGUUGUCGUAAAAUGCAUUCGAUUCUUGGCUAAAAUCGUAUUUGGGGGCAUGUUUGAUUUCCAGGCGGGCUGCUAUUUCCUUGACAGCCGAGAAAGACGCGAGAGCGCGCAGACUAACCAUGAUAGCCAACACACACACACACACACACACACACGAACAUAUUUACAUUUUUUUUUCAGUCCAGGGACAACAAAGAGCUAAAUGCCGACAAACGGUGUAAGGGCUCAGUCUGCUCUUGCUCCUGGAGGAGAAAAAGGCAAACGUGGCCUUGAAAGAAAAUUCGCUAAAUAAUUACAAAUAAAAAAUGGAUGCGUUCAGAGUCUGGUUUUGUCUUGAAUCAGAUCGCGCUGCAGCAGGCUGUGCAAGUCAGCGAGCAGCUGCGGGAAGCAACGCGGUUCUUCAUGUGGCACACACACACACGCACACGCAUGCACGCACGCACGCACACACACGACCAUUUUUCUGCGCACAAAGUAAACACAAGUAACACUACGUUGCACAUCAGCAGCAACAAUUAAAGCUGCAUGGCGGCGAGAUGUCGCGUCACUUCUUAAAGAUGAGAUCGUCCUCCCUCGUGCGCAUGCGUGAGAAAACUCCUGGCUGAACGCUGGUGCUUUGACAUCUGAGAGGAUCCUCACAGGAGGAUCCCAUCACUACAGUAAGGUGAAGCCGUUUGCAUACAAAAUGGAGGCCAAAUUUGGUAUUGGGAUGCUUUUUUUAAAAUCAUUUUAAAAGUUCACACGUUUUAAAACCAAUUUACUGACGAUAAAACCAUGCAACUUUAUCGUCCGAGAAGUUAGUCCACAAUACAAAAGCUUACAAUGUUUUUCUAAUUCAUACAUUGAUUCCAACACAAAGAAAAAUAAUGAAAAAUACAUAAUAUUGAUUUGGCUAAAUGAAAAAUAAAUUAAUAAAUAUAUUUUAAAGGAUAGACUGAUAACUUAUUGUCAAUUUAGCCUAAUUUACCAGAUUUAUAAAAAAAUGUGCAUAGAUUUAGCUAAUUUAUUGCUAAAUUGAUCUUUCUCGAAUCUAACCCAAGAUUAUAACUACAUCUAAUUACAGAAUGCAAAUAGAUGUUUGUGUGUUUGUCUAUUAGAAAAAACAGCUCAUGAUCCACUACAUGAAUUUAAUUUUUAAAGACCAAAUACAGUCCUUUUUUAAAUGAUGAUAAUGAUAAAUGACCCGCACUUGUAUAGCGCCUCUCAGAGUAAGGACUCCAAAGCGCUUUACACUACAGUGUAUCAUUCAUCCAUUCACACACUCAUUCACACACUGGUGGUGAUGAGCUACGAUGUAGCCACAGCUGCCCUGGGGCACACUGGCAGAGGCGAGGCAGUGGUCUCUACUAUAAAUGAAUGUUUUGCAAUUCAAUCUCUGUGGUAAAAAAAGCUCUGGCGCUCCUGUUUCGGGGGUAGAAGUUAGCCAUAACACGUGGGGAGCAGAAGAUGGCAGGAUUUGGAGUUUUAUUUUCUGAUAAUCUGACGUCUUGUAUUUGAUAAACUAACAAGCAACUCCACCACUGACUCAUUUUGCUUUGCAGUGUUGUAGGAGACAAGACUUCUGAAGUGCUACUUGUUUUGAUGUUUCAGAAAACUUCCAUAUUUUGAGGAUUUACUCAAGCUCUGGUCUUUUGUAGGAGUAUGAAGCUGGUGGGAAAACAUACAGAAAAAUGAUGGCUACCAGUAAUCGAGUAUUUUGUGGAAGGAAAUCCCAACAAAUGCGGGUUACUGGAAAUUGAAAAGCUAUAGCAUUUUUCAUCAGUUUCUUAGAACAAUUUCUAACUGAGGCUGGACAAUCUAAGGUAGUAUUCACAAGCCACUCUUUUAGUUUGUUGUAAACCUUCGUCUACUAAUUUUAUUGUCCUUUAUUUUCUAAAUGCAUAAGAGUUGGGGACAGAUGUGCAUACAGAUUCCUUAUGAAAGCAUUGGAUGAUAGUGAAAAAUAUUUAGUGUUUUGUUUUCUGUAGAUGAUGACAAGUCUCAUUAAAAAUCAUUGUUUACAUUAUGUGAGAAGCAGAUUAAUAUGUUUGUCUUUAUCAGCACUUUAAAACAAGAAAAGCCAAUGGAAACAAAUAUAAUUCAUCUAUAAACUAAUUUAUGAACUAAUUUGUGAAGUUGUUGGCCUUAUUUUGUUAAUUUAUUGAUGAAGUAAAGUGUUAAAAAGUUACACCAGUCUUCCAUGAUGUCAUUUUUUAAUGCUUUUCUCUUUUAUCAACAUGUUUGUGUUUUUUAUGCAGUGCAGCAUUUAGUUGAACAAAGGCUGCUUGGAAGGAGUUACUAAAAUGAGAACUUUGACCAGGUCUGAAAUCUAUUUAAGCUAAUGAGUAACAUAUAUUGGUGAUUUCCGUGUCCAAAGGUCCAAGGUAAAAUCUGAAAUAAACUCAGAUUAAAGGUAAAUAAAAUGCUGUAUUGUUUUAUUUUACAUAAUAUGUCUGGUUCUUACGUAUUUUUAUAUUUUCUGGAUAUUUGAAACACGUUUUAUGUUUUUUGUUUUUUUUUUUCAGACCAUUGACACACCGGAUCCUCAUGCACAGAGAUUUAAAGCAUAAUCUCACAGUUUUUCAUGUAGAAAUAUUCGGAAAGGCUCUGUAUCCAUGGCACAAAAUCAUUUUGCUUUUGUUACUAUAAAAAGCAUCUAGAUUAAUGACUGGAGUGCGCUUGCGUCCGGAAGUGGCGUCGAGGGACAAGCGAAAAUGGUGUGCGCAUGCGUGCGGGGCGCCAAUCAGAGAAGACAGAACAAUCUGGAACUCGGAGGACAGGAGACGUCGAAAAAGAGUCUCUCUUCAGCAGCUUGUCUUUGUCGGUUGUUAAAGGAGAACGUCCUCUGCCCGUCUACUGAAACUGUCCUGAUGUGGAACUUUAUUCCAUUAAAACUAUUAAAUCCAUGGGAGUACAAUCUUCUAUUUUAGUGGAGCGGCCAGACACCAAAACUAAAUUUCAUCCGUGAUUUUCAGACCUGGAUUACAAUGGAAACUGGACCUUCAGGCUUAUGCUCUUCCCCCCCACUUGUAAUUUUUCUCUGAAGGAAUAACGGGAAUGAGAUGGAAUGUCUGUCCUCAGCUCAUAAUAAAGACGUCUAUUGGGCUUCAUGCCUGCGUCAAAAUGUGGAUUUAAUUCGAUGGGGGUGCCAGAAAAAUUGUAACAAGAAACGUAUGUUUCAAAAAGCAAAAGACGUCAGCGGUCAAUGUCCGUGAUGUGUUACAUAAAUCAGCUCUGGUGUCAUCAGUCAAGCAAUGUGUUAAUGUGGAUUUAUUGCUUCGAAAUAACAUUUAAAGGUCAGAGAAGAAUCGUCGUAGGUACUGCUAGCUUGGCUCUUUGUUUAACGCCAUUUUGUAAAACUGAGGGCAGUAACAACGAUCGGCAGCCAUUUUGGCUUUUUUUUUUCUUAUCCAGACAACCUCCAGCAACAAAAAACAUACCGUGCAUCAUAAGUUUGUCUAAUAUUAACGUAAUAGCAAAGUAACAAUGAUGCUUUGUUUUAUAAUUGGUACAUUUCGCUAGCUAAUGUGCCAAUUAGUAUUUUUAAUAUGAUUAAACAAUAUUUAUGUUUUGAUUAUGUCAAAUAAUAUAAAGACAUGAAAUGCAGUUUAAGAGCAUGUUUUACCAUCUGAGUCAUAAGGCCCCAUAGGAAAAACUAAUGUCAGAUAACACAAAAUAUUCUAGAAUUAACUGAAGUCCACCUUAUUGAUAAUGUUUUCAAACAACACAAAAUUAUCCACUAUGCAAACUGAAUUGCUUCUACUGAAGAGUGAAUGUUGAAAACAUGUUUCUAGAAUAUUUUCGCACUUGCAAAAUCUGAUAUUUCCUAAAUUUGAAAUGCUAUCUCUGAUGCUCCUGGUGUGUGCGCGGUUUCUGUCGACGCUCUCUCUGUGCAUAGUGUGUGAAAUCCUCUUCUUCCUGCAAUGCACAAACAUGAGAGAUUUAAUGUGUGGAAUAAUGAAUUUUAGCCGUCUGGUGGCUUAUAGUCACACACCCUUCUGCCAUAGUUGCAUAAUCACUGAAUAAUGCAGCUAAGUUUGAUGCAAUACACUGUAAAAAUUAGCCAUCUAACAAUGACCAUAAAAAACAUAAAUUUAGUCUAAAUGUUCUGCAAGUACGAUAAGAUAAUUGCAUUUGUUUCCGUCAAAAUUUGUAAUCCUGCCUAGCAUAUAAUUCUCAAGACAAGAAAAACACAUUUUUGACUGGAUAUAAAAUUGUUACAAAAAGAACAACUGUACCAAAUGUCUUGCUAAGAAAAUGCUUUUUUCAGCCUUCAUGUAGAUUUUCUUUUGACACCAAACUAACCCUUUUUAGCAGAUUGGUCGAAACUCAGAAGAAUAGCGUUUCUUAUGGAACUGUCCACCAAAAAGAACACUAUAAAAUCCUGAGGUGUACGCCCAUCGUUACAGGACUCAAAUAAUUAAGGCUGUUGCUAAUUUCACAGAGGCCAUUAAUGACAAACACUAAUGCUGUGGCUGACUGGCGCAUGUGGUUAAAAUUUAAGUUGUGCUCUUUUUAACUUUUCUCAAAUAAAUGUUUCACUGAUUGUGAAUAUUUGA